rnacentral:lncRNA from 1 species
GGGACAGCAGAGCCUUGUAGGACAGGCCACUGCUGAGAAAAAGGCACUUGUCUAUGAAGGCGAGCUUUACCUUGAAGCAUGAAUAAUCAUCUUACCUGAGUUAUCUCAACCUGCUGCAGCUGGAGAAACCGUGAGCUGUAAUUCGGCCCCAUAGAGGGAAGCAAAUCAACAAGAGGGGAAGCAAGCAAGUCAGAGGACAGAAGAGCUGAGCCACCGUGCGGGAGCGACUGGACCGAAGGUGAAAGACUGGGUGUGCUAGACAGCCGAGGGUCUCAGCAAUCUCCUCACACAGGUUCUUUCAUGGACCAUGUUCUGACAUCUUGUCCACUCAACCCGCCCAGGCAAAGUUUGUCAGAGAACCGCUGUGUAAAUAUCAAGAAGCUAUAAACAGCAUGGCCUCGGGGUGAAACCUGCCUGAGGGUUAGAGUCCAGCUGCUGCGCUCACCAAGUAAGGAUCUCUGGGGAGAGCAUCUAAAGGGAGUAAGGUUUCCCUUGGCUCUCAGUGAGGAAGGCAUGGUGACAUCCGUAGGAGAAGCAGCUGGCCACACUGUGUCAGCAGCCACGGAAAAGAGAAAGGUCUCUGGUCUGUCCAGCCUCUG